AUUUUUUUCAAUUAUCUUCCAAUAAAUUAAUGCAUUAUAAACGAUUAUGAUCCAAUUAUUAUACUGGCUCGGUGUAUUCAUGUCUCCAUUAUAUUCGAUAACACUGCAAAAGCGUGUACACAACACAAACAUACAUAUAAACACAAAAUAUUAUGUUAACAAUAUUCGAAAAUAGGAGGGAUAAAAUUCGACGGUAUAAUAUAUUUUGCAUAGUAAUCGUGUAAAAUGUAAAUAGCUCGUAAAACUGACUAUCGGCGGAACGUAUAUUAUAAAUGAUAAUAGUUCAAACAGCAUCUAACAGGCAAUAAUAAUUGUAAUAUACUGACACCGUUGUCAUUAUAGUAAUGUUAUGAUGUCAUUCGUUACGAGUUAUCGAUGAGCCCGAAGAGGCGUGAUUGCGAUAAUAUUUUGGCACC